rnacentral:rRNA from 1 species
AGCAGUCGCCGCGGUAAUACAGAGGGUGCGAGCGUUAAUCGGAUUUACUGGGCGUAAAGCGUGCGUAGGCGGCUAAUUGAGUCGGAUGUGAAAUCCCCGAGCUUAACUUGGGAAUUGCAUUCGAUACUGGUUAGCUAGAGUGUGGGAGAGGAUGGUAGAAUUCCAGGUGUAGCGGUGAAAUGCGUAGAGAUCUGGAGGAAUACCGAUGGCGAAGGCAGCCAUCUGGCCUAACACUGACGCUGAGGUACGAAAGCAUGGGGAGCAAACAGGAUUAGAUACCCGCGUAGUCCCUGUCUCUUAUAA